GACAGAGGGUGCAAACGUUGCUCGGAAUUACUGGGCGUAAAGCGCACGUAGGCGGCCCAGCAAGUUGGGGAGUGAAAAGCCCUCGGCUUAACCGAGGAAGUGCUUUCCAAACUACUGGGCUUGAAUACUGGAGAGGGUCGCGGAAGUUCCCGGUGUAGAGGUGAAAUUCGUAGAUAUCGGGAGGAAACACCAGUGGCGAAGGCGGCGACCUGGACAGAUAUUGACGCUGAGGUGCGAAAGCGUGGGGAGCAAACAGG
rnacentral:rRNA from 1 species